ACUGUGAAGUCACAAGAGGCCCUGAGCUCUGUGGGCCCCAGGUGCCCCGGGAAAACUUGGGGGAGAAUGGGCAUCCCACCCCAGCACUUUCUAGGAAGAAGGGCAGCAUUUUGAAGGGCUGGAAGUAGAGGAAGGAGGUUGCGGGUAGAAGACUCCAUACUUUCUGUGACGCCUAUUCCUUAGCUUGUGAUGAAUGUUUUCUCAGUAUCCUAUGCUGAAAACAGGUAGAUACUAAUAUCGAUCUUCAAGGGAGGGCUGUUGAGUAUUGAAUAAGACAAAAACAUGGAAGCAAUCAGCACCAUGCUGGAAUCAAGGCUAUCUGUAAUCACAGGGCUAUUUGAAAAAGAGAAGAAAAGGUGUCUUGAAAUUCAACCAACAUGUUUCAAUUAUUUGCUCCUAAGAACAACAGAAGUUUCAACAUUCUGCCAACAGAGUAACUCCUGGAAGAUUGGCACAGAAGAAGGCACAAGGAAGUCAGUGAUAAAAAUAUUUAAGCAGCUUUGUCUGCCUUAGACCUUCCAACUAAAAGUACAGCAAGUGGAAUGGAAUGCUAAUAUGAGGAUCCAAAUUUUCAGGGAAGGAGGAGAGCCUUUAUAUAACCAAAGAUAUUUUUGGACCAUGAAUUCAGAAAUUCUCGGAGCCACCCAUCAGUGCCUGAGCUUCAGUGAGUCCAUAUCCCAUGUCACCCACGGCAAAGGAGACUCUAAGACUUCUGAAGAGUUUCUUGCUUCUUUCCUGUGGGGCAGUGACUCCACUUCCCAGCAGUAAUGGAAUAUCCUGAAUUAGCUACAUUAAUGUUAGAACCAUUUGGACCUCACCCAGGACUUCAACUACAUUAUGGUUCUAGUAUGUUACGUUUAUGUUCCCCUGCUUUCUACAAUCCUGUUCAAAGAGUUGCUGACUUAACCACAGAGAGGAUUCCAGAACCUGAGACACAGAAUAAACUUGAGCAAUCAUAGUCCAUCCACUUCAUUGUCUCAUCAAAAACCAAAGGUCCAGUGAAGCUCUGGAACUCAACGCUGUAAAGGAGCGAAGGAGCUUCUAUACAGAGCCUGGAUGCCUGUCUCCUUAUCCUACUUCAGUGGACUUGACUGCAAUCCGGAUUAUGCUGUUUUCUAAGCAUUUAAAAUAAAAUAAAAAGUAUAAUAGUGUGAUAAGUUCUUUCACAAAGCAAGCAAUCACAUUUAUGUUUCUACUUACAUUUGGGUUUUCCAAAUAUGUGUGUGUGUGUGUGUGUGUGUGUGUGUGUGUGUAUGUAGACUUUAAACAUGGUGCAUCCAUCAUGUUGCACUAAAUCAAAACCACCAAAUAAUGAUGUAGAACUAAUAAAUCAAAACCAUCAAAUAAUGACAUAGAAAUCCAAUUCUCCCACCUUACACCCAUUAAGAUGGCUACU
rnacentral:lncRNA from 1 species